rnacentral:tRNA from 1 species
GCCUGGGUGGCUCAGUCAGUUGAGCAUCUGACUUCAGCUCAGGUCAUGAUCUCGUGGUUUGUGAGUUCAAGCCCCACAUUGGGCU